rnacentral:rRNA from 1 species
UUGGAGGGCAAGUCUGGUGCCAGCAGCCGCGGUAACUCCAGCUCCAAUAGCGUAUAUUAAAGUUGUUGCGGUUAAAAAGCUCGUAGUUGAAUCUGUGUCCCACACUGUCGGUUCACCGCUCGCGGUGUUCAACUGGCAUGUCUGUGGGACGUCCUACCGGUGGGCGCAGCCCGUCAAAAGGCGGCCCAACUCAAAAUCCUACCACGGUGCUCUUCACCGAGUGUCGAGGUGGGCCGGUACGUUUACUUUGAACAAAUUAGAGUGCUUAAAGCAGGCUCAUUCGCCUGAAUAUUCUGUGCAUGGAAUAAUGGAAUAGGACCUCGGUUCUAUUUUGUUGGUUUUCGGAACUCCGAGGUAAUGAUUAAUAGGGACAACUGGGGGCAUUCGUAUUGCGACGUUAGAGGUGAAAUUCUUGGAUCGUCGCAAGACGGACAGAAGCGAAAGAAAUGUGUUUUCAUCAAUCAAGAACGAAAGUUAGAGGUUCGAAGGCGAUCAGAUACCGCCCUAGUUCUAACCAUAAACGAUGCCAGCUAGCGAUCCGCCGAAGUUCCUCCGAUGACUCGGCGGGCAGCUUCCGGGAAACCAAAGCUUUUGGGUUCCGGGGGAAGUAUGGUUGCAAAGCUGAAACUUAAAGGAAUUGACGGAAGGGCACCACCAGGAGUGGAGCCUGCGGCUUAAUUUGAC